rnacentral:lncRNA from 1 species
GUAUUUAUUAAGCUCCUACUAAGUUUAGAGCACUGUGCAAUGCAUUUACAAAUAAUAUCUCAUUUCUUUCUGACAACAAUCCUUUAUAUAUGACAACAACUUUACAAUUGAAGAAACUGAGGUAAACAGAGAUUAAGUGACUUGCUCAGGGUCCCACUGCUAGUAAGUUUCUGAACUAGGAUUUGAACUUUGAUCUUCCUGAUUCCAGGCUGAGUACUCUCAUAGACUUGAAUUCCACUUGUCCUGGUGGUCCUCUCAAUUGAUCUUUGGAGUAUCAUAGGGUGAUAUUAAGAUAUCCAAUUUUCUUCACUUAGAACCUGGAAAGAAUGGAGCUGAUAGAGACAGAAGCAACAGCAGAGGUGAAGAAUAUCUUCUUUUGGAGGACCACUGCACGUAUGCUUCAUCUUUUUUUAGACACUCACCUUCUGUCUUUGGAUCCAUGCUAACUAUUAGUUACAAGGCAAAAGAAUGGUAAGGGCUAGGCGCCUGGGGUUAAGAGACUUGUACAGUCACACAGCUAGAAAAUG